GCAGAGUCUUGUGCUGUCACCCAGGCUGGAAUGUACUGGCAUGAUCUAGGCUCACUACAACCUCCACCUCCCAGGUUCAAGCGAUUCUCCUACCUCAGCCUCCCAAAUAGCUGGGAUUACAGGUGCCUGCCACCAUGCCUGACUAAUUUUUGUAUUUUUAGUAGAGAUGGAAUUUCACCAUGUUGGUCUCAAGCUCCUGACCUCAGGUGAUCCAUCCGCCUCAGCCUACCAAAGUGCUGGGAUUACAGGCUUGAACCACCGCAACUUGUCAGCAAUUCAUUCUUGACCUUCUAAUAGGGAAAACAAGAACUGUGAAAAUAAUCUAUCCUUUCAUGUACGUUCUAGAAGAUGACAAUUAAAGGAAUAAGAAAAUGUUCGUUGAGUGGCCACAAGCAUAUGUUGUCAAAUGUCCAUCAACAGUAGAAUGGUUUCAGUUCAUACCGUUGGCAUCAUGAUGAAAAAUAAUACCGCCGAGCAGGCUCCAGAUCCCCACUGAGGACAUGAUGUCUCCCAGGUCACUGCACUCAGCUCCCCACUGGAUAUGCUCUCUUCUCAUCCUCCAGCAAAGUGCUCAGCUCUGCUCUUCUCAUCUCAAACAUCCUCAUGAAGACAGCGUCUUCCUCCCCAAGCAUAAAGCCUGGGCAUCACCUGAAGAUUUCUUCUACUCUGCAGUCCGCUUAUGGAAGCACCUUCUCAGUGGAGUCUUUCCCACUUCAGAUAAGCACUGUGCCACUGCGCACUAGUCAGUAUCAGAAGGCCUGCUUAGGACGCAAACAGCCCCAGUGGUCCAGCGAUUUAACAUGCCCAAUAUUUAUUUUUUAUUCUUGCUGCAUAAAAGUAAUGCCCUAUAGAUUUUAAUAUUCCUGGCCAGGUGCAAUGGCUUACGCCUGUAAUCCCAGCACUUUGGGAAACCAAGGUGGGUGAAUCCCUUGAGGCCAGGAGUUUGAGACCAGCCUGCCCAACAUGGUGAAAUGCUGACUCUACAAAAAAACACAAAAAAAUCUUAGCCUAGGAGGCACAGGUUGCAGUGAGUCAAGAUCGUGCCACUGCACUCCAGCCUGGACAACAGAGCGAGACUCUGUCUAAAAAAUAAGAAAAAAUUUUUUAAAGAGUUUAAGGCCCCUCCUUAAAGAGAAUGCAGUUUUCUCAUCCAUUUCCUAUUUAAAUAAAUUGGGGCUCAAAUGUCAUUUAAAAUUUUGAAUGCUCAUGAAAUGACGAAUUCUGUUUCAUGCUGUCUUUGGCAAUGCAAUCACUUAAAAACUUUGCAGGCUUCUUAUCCCCUUUGUUCAAGUCGAUUCUGUAUGCCAGCUGCCACACUCGAGGUCCUCAGGUCUGCUCUACAGACUGGAUCAGCCUUUACGCCUGUCUCUUUUGCACUAGAAGGCAGCUUGAGGCUGUCUGGCUUCUGUAGGGAGCCUUGAUCCCUUUAUGCCUAGCGUUCCAUUAUUGGAACGCUAAGCACGUGGAAGUUAU
rnacentral:lncRNA from 10 species